UUGGCCCCGCCCCUUUCCCCUCACAGUUCCCGCCCUUCCCUUGACCCCGCCCCUUUCCCUUCACAGUUCCCGCCCUUCCCUUGACCCAUCCCCUCCCAGUUCGGGGUUUGGAACGGGACAGGAGGAGGAGGAAGGGAGGAAGAAGCGGAGCGGCAGCAGAAGCAGGAGGGGACAAGGAACGAUUCGAGCGCCGGCCCGGAGCUGCCUGAACUCUCAGCGCCCCCGGGACCAUCGCCCCCCAUCCCGCAGGAUUUUCCACCCCUGGGCCCAGAGGAAGAGGAGGAGGCUGCGAGGAAGAGGAAGAUGGCCCAGGAGCCCCAGGCAGAAAAGGAGCUGAGCAAGGAGAGCAGGGAGGACAAAUCCCCACAGCAGAACCUUCUGGAAGAGGCCGUUUGCAGGGGCUCCACGGCGCAGGAAUCCAAUGGGGAGGAAAAGCCACAGA